rnacentral:rRNA from 1 species
UACGUAGGGGGCUAGCGUUGUCCGGAAUCAUUGGGCGUAAAGCGCGCGUAGGCGGCCCGGUAAGUCCGCUGUGAAAGUCAAAGGCUCAACCUUUGAAUGUCAGCGGAUACUGCCGGGCUAGAGUCCGGAAGAGGCGAGUGGAAUUCCUGGUGUAGCGGUGGAAUGCGCAGAUAUCAGGAGGAACACCAAUGGCGAAGGCAGCUCGCUGGGACGUGACUGACGCUGAGACGCGAAAGCGUGGGGAGCAAACAGG